rnacentral:rRNA from 1 species
AGAGUUUGAUCCUGGCUCAGAUUGAACGCUGGCGGCAUGCCUUACACAUGCAAGUCGAACGGCAGCAUGAUCUAGCUUGCUAGAUUGAUGGCGAGUGGCGAACGGGUGAGUAAUACAUCGGAACGUGCCCUGUAGUGGGGGAUAACUAGUCGAAAGAUUAGCUAAUACCGCAUACGACCUAAGGGUGAAAGUGGGGGACCGCAAGGCCUCAUGCUAUAGGAGCGGCCGAUGUCUGAUUAGCUAGUUGGUGGGGUAAAGGCCCACCAAGGCGACGAUCAGUAGCUGGUCUGAGAGGACGAUCAGCCACACUGGGACUGAGACACGGCCCAGACUCCUACGGGAGGCAGCAGUGGGGAAUUUUGGACAAUGGGCGAAAGCCUGAUCCAGCAAUGCCGCGUGUGUGAAGAAGGCCUUCGGG